AGGAAACCGGAAAAGGCGCUUUUCAGCGCAAAGAGAAGCUGCGGUGGCCGGGUUGACUUCGAAAGCCGGUGUCUUGGGACAGAAGAAAGGUUGAGAACCACUUUGUAUUUUUAACCACCCCCCAGUGCACGCAUGUGAAAGCUGCUCUGCUCUCCAGUGAAAAGGCUUUUCCUUUGAUUUGGAAGACAAUCUGGUGUGUCUUUUCUCUUUUCAGUCAAGUGGAGGAGAUACAAGCCAGUAAUGCAGUACUGCCAUUCAGGUAUUCUAACAGAGAUUUAUCAGCAGGUUGCAGGUGAACAUGGCCUUAAGGUAAUCCUGCUGCUUGCUGAAAUUUAAUGUCAGCAGAUUAUUCAUGAUAUUUUAAAGAACUGGAAUAUUUUACCCAAACACAGAAGUUUGAUUCCUUUCUGGAUUUAUUUUUCCUUCCUUUAGAAGAUAAGAAAAAUCUUUAAACAAAGCUUCUUUAUGCUGAGUGAUUGUGAUGUUUGAGGAUACUCAUCUGCCUUGUUUAAGUGGAUUUUAAAUGUCAAAUCCAAUUUUAUACUGUUUUUGCUUGGUCAAAUAAAAUUUUAUUAUAACCUU